AGACACUAGACAGCCCACGUUAAACUUCCCCCCAAAAGGGAAAAAACAUUGUGACUCCUGUCUCUCCUGUCUUCGGUUGGGGCGACCGCGGAGGAUAAAAGAGCCUCCAUGUGGACCGAGGUUACUAACCUCACAACUAAGAGCUGCAGCUCCAAGCAACAGAAAUUCUGACCAAAAUGAUCCGGCACAUGCCGAUUAACGGAACAAGUUACCCUAGGGAUAACAGCGCAAUCCUCUCCCAGAGUCCCUAUCGACGAGGGGGUUUACGACCUCGAUGUUGGAUCAGGACAUCCUAUUGGUGCAGCCGCUAAUAAG
rnacentral:rRNA from 1 species